GCCCAGGUAGCUCAGUCGGUAGAGCAGCGGACUGAAAAUCCGCGUGUCGGCGGUUCAACUCCGUCCCUGGGCA
rnacentral:tRNA from 1 species